rnacentral:rRNA from 1 species
UACGGGGGGGGCAAGCGUUGUUCGGAAUUACUGGGCGUAAAGGGUUUGUAGGUGGCUUGCUAAGUCAGACGUGAAAUCCCUCAGCUUAACUGGGGAACUGCGUCUGAUACUGGCGAGCUUGAGUGCAGGAGAGGAACGCGGAAUUCCAGGUGUAGCGGUGAAAUGCGUAGAUAUCAGGAGGAACACCGGUGGCGAAGGCGGUUCUCUGGGCAUUACCUGACGCUGAGGAGCGAAAGUGUGGGGAGCGAACAGG